rnacentral:lncRNA from 1 species
UUUUUUUUUUUUUUUUUUUUUUUUUUUGUCUUUGAACAGCUGCACCCACAGCAUAUGGAAAUUCCCAGGCUAGGGGUCGAAUGGGAGCUGCAGCUGCUGGUCUACACCACAGCAAAACCAAAUCUAAGCUGCACCUGCAAACUACACUGCAGCUUAUGGCAACACUGGAUCCUUCAUCCACUGAGUGAGGAGAGGAAUUGAACCCACGUCCUCAUGGACACUAGCUGGGUCUAAGCCACAAUGGGAACUCCUAUCUUUGGAAGUGGCUUCUAGGAGGCUAUAUCCUCCUCCCCCAGGCCCAUACCUGAUUCCAGCCCUCUCCAAAAUUUCUCAAGUUGCCAGCACACAAUAUACUUCUGCAUCCUAAGUCUUUCCUGCCUAACUUAAUGACAUACGAUCAAUACAUAUAAUAUAUACAAUACAGUAUGCAGAGAAGGGGGUAAGAAGCAUAUACUUUCCUAAAUGCAAUUAGCUCUUAUUUCCAGCAGGGCCUAUCAAGUGUUCCAAAAACAAAAGUACAUCUAAAUCUAGGAAGAACGGUUCCAAAGAUAGUAGCUGGAAUCACAUACCUGCAUUCAACCUUCAGUUUACCCACUUGGCUUUGUAAAUUAAACUCUGUAAGCCCCAAAUUCCCAUUUGUAAAAUGGAAUUAAUAAUGUCAGCCUCAAAGAACUGUUGUAAUGAUUAAGUGAAAUAGUAUGCCUAAAAUGUUUAAAUCAAUGUCUGGCAUUUGGUAGAUAUACAUUGAGUAAACACCUAUAUUAUGAUUAAGUCCACCUCUCCCAAAAGAAAAGACCUAGAACAAAGUUUAAAAGCUGAAAAAUAUCGAAGAAAUCAUGUUCCAAAUGUAACACACCACAGAUAAAGAAAUGAAGCCCUAGAAAGUCUAACUGGCUUACCUGACAUUACCAUGCUAUCUAAUGAAAGAGGUGCAAUUAAAAUUUAGGUUUCUCAAAUCCUAAUUCAGUAUUCUUUCUACUAUCUCAAGUGUUUCUUGUCCAUCUCUCUGAUACUAAGUAAGACACUUAAUUUUCUAAUCUCAACUUCCUCAAUGACAAACUACAGGAACAGGACCAGAUCAUGGGUCCUUCUAGCUCCAAAAUUCUCAUUCUAUGGUUCAUGCAGGCCCUCAAGUGGCUGACUUAACACGCCCUCAGAAAUAAAACCAAAUAUAUUUCCAAUCUCUACCUAUGCUUAGUUUUCUUAUGGAUGCUUUCAAAACUCUCAAAGUGACUAGUUACAUGGAAGUAAUUUACCUGUACAGCACAGGGAACUAUAAUCAAUAUUUCGUAAUAAGAGAAAAGAUUUUGAAAAAGUAUGCAAAUAUAUAUAUAACAAUCAUUGUGGUAUACAUCUGAAACUAACACAAUAUUGUAAAUCAACAAUAUGUCAAUAAAAAAAGAAAUUUAAAUUUUCUUAAAAAGAAAGUAACUGACCUCUCAAAGCAGUUAAGUCAGUAAAAAAAAAAAAGCAACCAAGUCAAUAAGAGACUGAGACUAUCAAAAUUAUAAAUAAGUUACUACUAACUUGACUUUUACACAUCAUGCAACUAUCUCAAUAAUAAGGAAAAGUCUUUAAUAGCUAAUAUUUUUACAUAGCUAACAUAUAACUAAACACCUAAUAUCUAAUUAAAACUGAUCUCUACAUGUUAAGCACGUUUAGAGUAUCAAGUGUCUUGAUUCAGUAAUAUGGAUAGGAAGACACAAAAAUAUAUCAAAAUAAGAAUUUAGUUCUAAAAGAUGCCUUUUUUUCUUUUUUUUUUUUUUUUUUUUUUUUUAAAUUUUAGGGGCUUGCCCAUUUGUCAAGACUGACUGACCCAUGCUCAGAUGCUGUUCACAAGGAACCCUUCUCCACCUGGGUCUUCAAAUUCUCAUCUGAAUAUUUGCACAAGCUGCAGCUCCACCGGGGGCCCAUGGGCUAGGCUUCAGGAUUCGCUGCAGGAACCCUACUACUGUUGGGAGGAGGCAAGGGGGAGGAGAGCCGACACAUAGGCGCCCAUCCCUCCUGGAUACCACUUUUCAUUUUUUAAAUAUUAAAAUCACUUGAGAAAACUGGCAAAGGUGCUAAUAAUAAAAUUUCCUAAACAGAGAAUCUGUGAGCCAUGCUCAAAAAAAAAAAAAAAAAAAAUCACAGAAUGUUCUUGAAGACCUACUAUGUAAUACUUCAAAAUCUAACAAAAGUUCUAAUCUACUGGCUACGGAUUCCUGUUAUUAAAGGUAUUUAGAAUAUCAGUUUCAAAAAGUAAAACACAAAAUUCACAAAAUUAAAAUCCAUCCUGAAUAUUAUCAUCUUUUAUGAUGCAAAACUCCCUGAGAAAGACUAUCCCAAUAGCAGAUGACUCAAUUCAGGUUCCCAAGGAAACAGACUUUGAGGCUGAAAUCUGCAAGCAAAACAGGUGGUUUAUUAGGGAAUGCUCUUAAGCACACCUGUGCCAGCACAGGGACAGCAGGACUGGACCAAGGGAGACAUUAAACAGUACUGAUCAAUAACAGUUACAACAGCAGCCUCAGCUAAUCCUACCAAGAGUCCUGAAACUAGAAUGGCCCUUCAUAUUAGUCUCUGAUCAAGGCAAGAGGAUGAUUCUUUAUAUCCCCCACAUCAAUCAGUAAUGAAGUGCAGGCUGUUCUGAAGGGGAUACAAACUUGGGUGAGACAGUCAUGACUCCAAACAACUAAGAGAAUGUGUCACCAUACUGAAGGGAAAUCUAUAUCCCACACCAAAGCAUCCACUACAGUGACUUCACCUUACCUGCAUUUGAUAUACCCAUAAAGAGCUAUAGAGGGGCUCAGCAAUAACAAACCCAACUAGAUUUCUUAAAACAUUUUCAAAAUAUUAUUUAGCUAAUAAAGUCCAAAUAAAGAAUAACUGAGACCCCGGAAAAACUUUUAUAUUAGCAUGCUUAUAUAACACUUAACCACAGUCUAAUAUUAAAAAUUGAGAUGAGGGAAAGUGUGGUUUUUUAUUAAAUUUCAUCUACUGUUAUGGUCAUGCAAUACUUAAAAAGAGGUCUAUGCAACUAAGUAACUCAUGUUAUUGUAUUAAGUAUGUCAAUCAACCAUAGUGCACGCAAUGGCCAUGGAUCCAACCUCAAGUAAUCUACAUACCAUAGCCCAUGUUGAGAAUACAGUCCAAGAUAGCCAGGUUAUAUGACCCCAUGUCUAUUGCCAACUGACCAGAUGUGAUCACCUGGACCCAACAGUAGACAUUCACAACCAAUAAAAUGGCUCAGUGGCAAGACAAAGAAACCCCAAUGAGAAGAAUGACCUACUGUUGAGUUCCAUGCUUAGACCUAUGAACUGCAAAUUAUGAAGAGAAAUGACUCAUUAGCCACACAAACUGGCACUCAACAGAUACACAGUGCAGCAAGAUAAGGCAAGAGUAAAGUGAGAGUAUAGAAGGGACUCGACCAAAUCAAAGUUACAACCCAGCUAAAGUUUCAAAAGACCAUAGACACCGAGUAUGCAGAAGUUAUGAUGGAAAAAACUAGAAUGGAGGGUAAGCAAAUUAGGUAGAACCAAAUUAACCUAAUCAGAACUAUAUUCACUAUUUCAGAGCUAUGGCAAAGCUUACUUUUAAAAGGACAAUCUGCAAAAGAUGUGUUUCAUGGCAGCACCAUUCCUAGAAGGAAUCCUGGCAUCAUAUGACCCCACUCCACUCCCAAUCUCAGUUAACUAAAUCAGCAGUAGACCCCUGACCCAGAGGAAGCAACUCCAUUAUUGACCAGCCAGGGACCUACACAUGACCUGAUGAGAAAAGAUGAGGAUAUUUUAGAUUCUUCUCUCGGGAUUUGGAAAUUGAGACAUCAAGCCAGUCAGCUAUGCAAAGGUAAGGUGAAAAGCAAGUACCAUCAUGUGGUCAUAUGGCCAUUUGGGGUCUUGAGCAUCAUGAGCCAUGCAGCAACGAGGAGGAUGUACACAGAGGUGGCAGAAACAAAACGCCAGCAUGAAAAUGUGUGAGAGGAGUCCCGGUUGCGGUGCAAUGGAAACAAAUCCAACUAGUAACCAUGAGGAUGCGGGUUUGAUCCCCGGCCUCGCUCAGCGGGCAGGGGAUCCAGCAUUGCCAUGAGCUGUGAUGCAGGCUGACAGCUGGAGCUCCAAUUUCACCCUCGCCUGGGAACAUCCACAUGCCAUGGGUGCGGCCAUGAAAAGCAGAAAUCAAUCAAUCAGUAAAAAAAAAUUUUAAAAAAAGAAAAUUGGGUGAAACAGAAAAGAACACUGCCUCUGUCCCUGACACCAUCCUAAGUCCUACUGUCUAGAGAUCCAACGAUUCAGCAAUUCUUGUUCAGAGAUCACUCUGAAACGUUCCAAUAAAUUCUUCUUUCAACUUAAACUGAUUUGAGGAAGUUUAUACCCCUUGAAAGUAAAAAACACUUACUAGAAUAUUGUCCAAGGAUGUCAGAUUACGUUCAUGCAUUUAAGUUUUAGUUACUGUUUCCUCUGCUCCAUAGCUUGGAAGAAUAGUCUGUAAACCCUAUUUCUCUUUCCUUACUUCCCACACUUCCCAGCCAAUCGCUUCUCCCUACGAUCCUCCUGAAACUGAACUAGGUAUAACCUCACUGUUCCUUUCAGUGGACACUUCUCAGUCUUUGACUAUAUACAUCUCUCCAACAUUCACACGUAUCUAAUACUUGCCUCCACUGUCUCUUGAGUGCUGGACCUCUAUUUCCACGUGUGUGGUGAACAUCUCCACUGACGUCCACACCUCUGCUUCACACUCACCUUCCUCCUGAAACCUGUUCUUCCUCAUCCUCUAUUCUUCACCUUAGUCCAUUCCACCUAAACUACUCACAAGUCAACAAAUCCUAUUAAUUCCAUCUCUUAACUUUCUUGAAAGUUAUUCUUUCUCUGUCCUCAAAGCCAUUGCCUGAAUUCAAGCUUUCAUCAUCCCCUAGACUGACAACCAGAGAUUCAGCAAUUCUGAUAUAAUGCAGGGACCUGGGAAUCUUUUUUUCUUUUCUUCUUUUUAAGGAUUUCAAAUGAUUGUAAUGUUCAACAACUUCAGGAACUAAAAAGUUAUUACUUUCUAGUUAGUCUCUCCCUUUAUGGAGCCAUCCUCUCUAUACAGCCACCAAGCAGUUAACAUAUAUUACUGAACACAUACCAAGCAUCAACAUUCAUGUACGCCCUACACACUAAGAAAUAAAACAAAAUCUCCACCC